rnacentral:rRNA from 1 species
GUGCCUAUAAUGGCAAGUCGAGCGAAUGGAUUAAGAGCUUGCUCUUAUGAAGUUAGCGGCGGACGGGUGAGUAACACGUGGGUAACCUGCCCAUAAGACUGGGAUAACUCCGGGAAACCGGGGCUAAUACCGGAUAAUAUUUUGAACCGCAUGGUUCGAAAUUGAAAGGCGGCUUCGGCUGUCACUUAUGGAUGGACCCGCGUCGCAUUAGCUAGUUGGUGAGGUAACGGCUCACCAAGGCAACGAUGCGUAGCCGACCUGAGAGGGUGAUCGGCCACACUGGGACUGAGACACGGCCCAGACUCCUACGGGAGGCAGCAGUAGGGAAUCUUCCGCAAUGGACGAAAGUCUGACGGAGCAACGCCGCGUGAGUGAUGAAGGCUUUCGGGUCGUAAAACUCUGUUGUUAGGGAAGAACAAGUGCUAGUUGAAUAAGCUGGCACCUUGACGGUACCUAACCAGAAAGCCACGGCUAACUACGUGCCAGCAGCCGCGGUAAUACGUAGGUGGCAAGCGUUAUCCGGAAUUAUUGGGCGUAAAGCGCGCGCAGGUGGUUUCUUAAGUCUGAUGUGAAAGCCCACGGCUCAACCGUGGAGGGUCAUUGGAAACUGGGAGACUUGAGUGCAGAAGAGGAAAGUGGAAUUCCAUGUGUAGCGGUGAAAUGCGUAGAGAUAUGGAGGAACACCAGUGGCGAAGGCGACUUUCUGGUCUGUAACUGACACUGAGGCGCGAAAGCGUGGGGGAGCAAACAGGAUUAGAUACCCUGGUAGUCCACGCCGUAAACGAUGAGUGCUAAGUGUUAGAGGGUUUCCGCCCUUUAGUGCUGAAGUUAACGCAUUAAGCACUCCGCCUGGGGGAGUACGGCCGCAAGGCUGAACUCAAGGAAUUGACGGGGGCCCGCACAAGCGGUGGAGCAUGUGUUUAAUUCGAAGCAACGCGAAGAACCCUUACCAGGUCUUUGACA